UACGUAGGGGGCAAGCGUUGUCCGGAUUAUUGGGCGUAAAGAGCGUGUAGGCGGCCUGACAGGUCUGCUGUGAAAACUCGAGGCUCAACCUCGAGAUGUCGGCGGAAACCGUCUGGCUAGAGUCCGGAAGAGGAGAGUGGAAUUCCUGGUGUAGCGGUGAAAUGCGCAGAUAUCAGGAAGAACACCUAUGGCGAAGGCAGCGUCUCUGGGACGGUACUGACGCUGAGACGCGAAAGCGUGGGGAGGCGAACAGG
rnacentral:rRNA from 1 species